UGAGUACGAGAGGCUACGGCCUUGAAGCAGUGUAUGUCAUACUUCCAAGAAAAGCUCGCUAUGUCAUAAACAAAUAAUGCCUGUACCAUAACCGACACAGGUGGGUAGGUAGAGUAUACUAAGGGGCGCGAGGUAACUCUCUCUAAGGAACUCGGCAAAAUGACUCCGUAACUUCGGGAGAAGGAGUGCCUUAUUUAUAAGGUUGCUAUAACAAGAUCCAAGCAACUUUUAUCAAAAACACAGGUCUCCGCUAAGUCGAAAGACGAUGUAUGGGGGCUGACGCCUGCCCAGUGCCAGAAGGUUAAAGAAGUCGGUUAGCAUUAGCGAAGCUGAUAACUGAAGCCCUGGUGAACGGCGGCCGUAACAAUAACGGUCCUAAGGUAGCGAAAUUCCUUGUCGGGUAAGUUCCGACCCGCACGAAAGGCGUAAUGAUUUGGAUACUGUCUCGGAGAGGGGCUCGGUGAAAUAGACUUGUCUGUGAAGAUGCGGACUACCUGCACCUGGACAGAAAGACCCUAUGAAGCUUUACUGUAACCUGAAAUUGAAAUUGGACUUUAUUUGCGCAGUAUAGGUGGGAGGCGUUGACAGUAUUCUUGCGGGAAUAUUCGAGCCAUCAGUGAGAUACCACUCUUGUAAUGUUAGAUUUCUAACUUUGGAUCAUUAUCUGGUCAAAGAACAGUUUCAGGCGGGCAGUUUGACUGGGGCGGUCGCCUCCUAAACGGUAACGGAGGCGUACAAAGGUUUCCUCUGAACGGGUAGAAAUCGUAUCUAGAGUGUAAAGGCAUAAGGAAGCUUGACUGUGAGACCUACAAGUCGAGCAGGGACGAAAGUCGGUCUUAGUGAUCUGACGGUGCUGAGUGGAAAGGCCGUCACUCAACGGAUAAAAGUUACUCUAGGAUAACAGGCUGAUCUCCCCCAAGAGUUCACAUCGACGGGGAGGUUUGGCACCUCGAUGUCGGCUCAUCGCAUCCUGGGGCGGUAGUACGUCCCAAGGGUUGGGCUGUACGCCCAUGAAAGCGGUACGCGAGCUGGGUUCAGAACGUCGUGAGACAGUUCGGUCCAUAUCCGGUGUAGGCGUUAGAAUAUUGAGAGGAGCCUUCUUUAGUACGAGAGGACCAAGAAGGACACACCUCUGGUGUACCAGUUAUCGUGCCAACGGUAAACGCUGGGUAGCUAUGUGUGGAGUGGAUAACCGCUGAAAGCAUCUAAGUGGGAAGCCCACCUCAAGAUAAGUAUUC
rnacentral:rRNA from 1 species